rnacentral:rRNA from 1 species
CCUACGGGAGGCAGCAGUGGGGGAUAUUGCACAAUGGGGGAAACCCUGAUGCCGCGACGCCGCGUGUGGGAAGACGGCCCUCUGGAUUGUAAACCACUGUCCCCAGGGACGAAGAUGACGGUACCUGGGGAGGAAGCUCCGGCUAACUACGUGCCAGCAGCCGCGGUAAUACGUAGGGAGCGAUCGUUGUCCGGAAUUACUGGGUUGAAAGGGAGCGUAGGCGGGACUGCAAGUUGGGUGUCAAAUCUACCGGCUCAACCGGUAGCCGCACUCAAAACUGCAGUUCUUGAGUGAAGUAGAGGCAGGCGGAAUUCCUAGUGUAGCGGUGAAAUGCGUAGAUAUUAGGAGGAACACCAGUGGCGAAGGCGGCCUGCUGGGCUUUUACUGACGCUGAGGCUCGAAAGUGUGGGGAGCAAACAGGAUUAGAUACCCCAGUAGUC